rnacentral:rRNA from 1 species
GAUGAACGCUGGCGGCGUGCCUAAUACAUGCAAGUCGAGCGAACAGAUGAGGAGCUUGCUCCUCUGACGUUAGCGGCGGACGGGUGAGUAACACGUUGAUAACCUACCUAUAAGACUGGGAUAACUUCGGGAAACCGGAGCUAAUACCGGAUAAUAUAUUGAACCGCGUGGUUCAAUAGUGAAAGACGGUUUUGCUGUCACUUAUAGAUGGAUCCGCGCCGCAUUAGCUAGUUGGUAAGGUAACGGCUUACCAAGGCAACGAUGCGUAGCCGACCUGAGAGGGUGAUCGGCCACACUGGAACUGAGACACGGUCCAGACUCCUACGGGAGGCAGCAAUAGGGAAUCUUCCGCAAUGGGCGAAAGCCCGACGGAGCAACGCCGCGUGAGUGAUGAAGGUCUUCGGAUCGUAAAACUCUGUUAUUAGGGAAGAACAAAUGUGUAAGUAACUAUGCACGUCUUAACGGUACCUAAUCAGAAAGCCACGGCUAACUACGU